rnacentral:rRNA from 1 species
GACGAACGCUGGCGGCGUGCUUAACACAUGCAAGUCGAACGGAAAGGCCCUGCUUUUGUGGGGUGCUCGAGUGGCGAACGGGUGAGUAACACGUGAGUAACCUGCCCUUGACUUUGGGAUAACUUCAGGAAACUGGGGCUAAUACCGGAUAGGAGCUCCUGCUGCAUGGUGGGGGUUGGAAAGUUUCGGCGGUUGGGGAUGGACUCGCGGCUUAUCAGCUUGUUGGUGGGGUAGUGGCUUACCAAGGCUUUGACGGGUAGCCGGCCUGAGAGGGUGACCGGCCACAUUGGGACUGAAAUACGGCCCAGACUCCUACGGGAGGCAGCAGUGGGGAAUAUUGCACAAUGGGCGGAAGCCUGAUGCAGCAACGCCGCGGGCGGGAUGACGGCCUUCGGUUUGUAAACCGCUUUCGCCUGUGACGAAGCGUGAGUGACGGUAAUGGGUAAAGAAGCACCGGCUAACUAC